rnacentral:rRNA from 1 species
GAUGAACGCUAGCUACAGGCUUAACACAUGCAAGUCGAGGGGCAGCAUGGUCUUAGCUUGCUAAGGCCGAUGGCGACCGGCGCACGGGUGAGUAACACGUAUCCAACCUGCCGUCUACUCUUGGACAGCCUUCUGAAAGGAAGAUUAAUACAAGAUGGCAUCAUGAGUCCACAUGUUCACAUGAUUAAAGGUAUUCCGGUAGACGAUGGGGAUGCGUUCCAUUAGAUAGUAGGCGGGGUAACGGCCCACCUAGUCUUCGAUGGAUAGGGGUUCUGAGAGGAAGGUCCCCCACAUUGGAACUGAGACACGGUCCAAACUCCUACGGGAGGCAGCAGUGAGGAAUAUUGGUCAAUGGGCGAGAGCCUGAACCAGCCAAGUAGCGUGAAGGAUGACUGCCCUAUGGGUUGUAAACUUCUUUUAUAAAGGAAUAAAGUCGGGUAUGGAUACCCGUUUGCAUGUACUUUAUGAAUAAGGAUCGGCUAACUCCGUGCCAGCAGCCGCGGUAAUACGGAGGAUCCGAGCGUUAUCCGGAUUUAUUGGGUUUAAAGGGAGCGUAGAUGGAUGUUUAAGUCAGUUGUGAAAGUUUGCGGCUCAACCGUAAAAUUGCAGUUGAUACUGGAUAUCUUGAGUGCAGUUGAGGCAGGCGGAAUUCGUGGUGUAGCGGUGAAAUGCUUAGAUAUCACGAAGAACUCCGAUUGCGAAGGCAGCCUGCUAAGCUGCAACUGACAUUGAGGCUCGAAAGUGUGGGUAUCAAACAGGAUUAGAUACCCUGGUAGUCCACACGGUAAACGAUGAGUACUCGCUGUUUGCGAUAUACAGCAAGCGGCCAAGCGAAAGCGUUAAGUAUUCCACCUGGGGAGUACGCCGGCAACGGUGAAACUCAAAGGAAUUGACGGGGGCCCGCACAAGCGGAGGAACAUGUGGUUUAAUUCGAUGAUACGCGAGGAACCUUACCCGGGCUUAAAUUGCAGAUGAAUUACGGUGAAAGCCGUAAGCCGCAAGGCAUCUGUGAAGGUGCUGCAUGGUUGUCGUCAGCUCGUGCCGUGAGGUGUCGGCUUAAGUGCCAUAACGAGCGCAACCCUUGUUGUCAGUUACUAACAGGUUCCGCUGAGGACUCUGACAAGACUGCCAUCGUAAGAUGUGAGGAAGGUGGGGAUGACGUCAAAUCAGCACGGCCCUUACGUCCGGGGCUACACACGUGUUACAAUGGGGGGUACAGAGGGCCGCUACCACGCGAGUGGAUGCCAAUCCCAAAAACCUCUCUCAGUUCGGACUGGAGUCUGCAACCCGACUCCACGAAGCUGGAUUCGCUAGUAAUCGCGCAUCAGCCACGGCGCGGUGAAUACGUUCCCGGGCCU